UACGGAGGGUGCAAGCGUUUGUCCGGAUUUAUUGGGUUUAAAGGGUGCGUAGGUGGAUCUUUUAAGUCUGGUUUGAAAGCAGGCGGCUUAACCGUCUGAUGUGGCUGGAAACUGGAGGUCUUGAAUGUGUUGGCGGUAGCCGGAACGGGUCAUGUAGCGGUGAAAUGCAUAGAUAUGACCCAGAACCCCGAUUGCGAAGGCAGGCUACUAGGACAUGAUUGACACUGAGGCACGAGAGCAUGGGGAGCGAACAGG
rnacentral:rRNA from 1 species